rnacentral:rRNA from 1 species
UAAUACCGGCAGUCCAAGUGAUGGCCGAUAUUAUUGGGCCUAAAGCGUCCGUAGCCGGCCGGACAAGUCCGUUGGGAAAUCGACGCGCUCAACGCGUCGGCGUCCAGCGGAAACUGUCCGGCUUGGGGCCGGAAGACCUGAGGGGUACGUCCGGGGUAGGAGUGAAAUCCUGUAAUCCUGGACGGACCACCAAUGGGGAAACCACCUCAGGAAGACGGACCCGACGGUGAGGGACGAAAGCUAGGGUCUCGAACCGGAUUAGAUACCCGGGUAGUCCUAGCUGUAAACGAUGCUCGCUAGGUGUGCCGUAGGCUACGAGCCUGCGCUGCGCCCUAGGGAAGCCGAGAAGCGAGCCGCCUGGGAAGUACGUCUGCAAGGAUG